rnacentral:misc_RNA from 1 species
AGUGGAUUGAUUUGUGGAGUAGGCAAAUUGCUGAACAUCUAUCUUUAGGCACUUAAUUUUCUUCUAUAAUAGUUGAAGGAAGAUUAGUUUUCCUUGGUCAUUUGGGAGACUUUUGUGCUCACAGGGAAAAAGAUCUUGACUAUUAUAAUCUACAAAAGUGGUACAUUAGUGGAUGCUUUCUUUGCAAUAUGGAGGAAGUAAUUAGUCCUUUCAUAUUGCAUUGGUAUUAGGGUAUAAAACUCUGUGAAGGGAAAGAAAUAUUAGAGAUUUUAUGGAAGAGGAAUAGUUUGUCUUCCUGCCUAGAGGUCUGGCUUUUUGUUGCGCACUUCUGAUCUGCUAGCUGGUAUAGUGUGCAUGUUUCUUAGUUGAUUUUCAAUCCUU